AUCCAGUUGACGAGUUCCAAAUGUGGUGAAACGCGCGUCCUGGAU
rnacentral:hammerhead_ribozyme from 1 species